CCAGCCUGGGCGCCAGCCAAGAAGCUGCAGGCACUUGUUUAUCUUCUGGUGCGUACGAGUGUGUGUGGCUUCCCAGCAGCAAAUCAACCCGAGAAACCUGGUCUGUCUCCAGCCUAGUCUACACCAGAGCUCAAGUCUGGACUCAGACGUCUCAGCAUGGUCACCCCACAAGAUCACAAGAUCCUUCUUUCCAAGGGCUCAUCAGGUAUCUAUCCUCCAUCCACUCAGCUCUGCAAGCAGAACUUCAGAGAAGCAACGGAAUCCUCUCUCCCCUCACAGCCACAACCUUCCAUCACCAAGACGUGUUGACUUUCCCCCUUAAUAGGUAUCAAACCUGGCCCUUCCUCCAUCCCAACAAACAGUGCCGUGGUUCAGGCAUCAUCAUCUGUCACCCAGACAACUUCACAGCUUCUUUACUCAUGUUCUGGUUUCACUCCUAUCCAUCCUCACCCUGCCCCAGAGGGAGAUUUUUAGGUCACAGGUUGGUUCUUGCCACUCUUCAUGUCUUAUAAACCUCCCCAAGACUCAAUGUCUUCAUCCGUAUCAUGGGGCCAGUAAUGGUUACCUGAAAGUGUUGGAGGGGAAUAAAAUGAAACGAUGAAUGUA